rnacentral:rRNA from 1 species
UGGGGAAUAUUGCACAAUGGGCGAAAGCCUGAUGCAGCAACGCCGCGUGAGGGACGACGGCCUUCGGGUUGUAAACCUCUUUUAGCAAGGAAGAAGCGAAAGUGACGGUACUUGCAGAAAAAGCGCCGGCUAACUACGUGCCAGCAGCCGCGGUAAUACGUAGGGCGCAAGCGUUAUCCGGAAUUAUUGGGCGUAAAGAGCUCGUAGGCGGUUUGUCGCGUCUGCUGUGAAAACCCGAGGCUCAACCUCGGGCCUGCAGUGGGUACGGGCAGAUUAGAGUGCGGUAGGGGAGAUUGGAACUCCUGGUGUAGCGGUGGAAUGCGCAGAUAUCAGGAAGAACACCGAUGGCGAAGGCAGAUCUCUGGGCCGUAACUGACGCUGAGGAGCGAAAGGGUGGGGAGCAAACAGGCUUAGAUACCCUGGUAGUCCACCCCGUAAACGUUGGGAACUAGUUGUGGGUCCAUUCCACGGAUUCCGUGACGCAGCUAACGCAUUAAGUUCCCCGCCUGGGGAGUACGGCCGCAAGGCUAAAACUUAAAGGAAUUGACGGGGUCAUAGCUGUUUCCU